UACAGAGGUCUCAAGCGUUGUUCGGAUUCAUUGGGCGUAAAGAGCUCGUAGGCGGUUUGUCGCGUCUGCUGUGAAAACUCGGGGCUUAACCCCGGGCCUGCAGUGGGUACGGGCAGACUAGAGUGCGGUAGGGGAGACUGGAAUUCCUGGUGUAGCGGUGAAAUGCGCAGAUAUCAGGAGGAACACCGGUGGCGAAGGCGGGUCUCUGGGCCGUAACUUACGCUGAGGAGCGAAAGCGUGGGGAGCGAACAGG
rnacentral:rRNA from 1 species